AUUGAACGCUGGCGGCAUGCUUUACACAUGCAAGUCGAACGGUAACAGGUUAAGCUGACGAGUGGCGAACGGGUGAGUAAUGCAUCGGAACGUGCCCGAUCGUGGGGGAUAACACUUCGAAAGAAGUGCUAAUACCGCAUACGAUCUGAGGAUGAAAGCGGGGGACCGUAAGGCCUCGCGCGAUCGGAGCGGCCGAUGUCAGAUUAGGUAGUUGGUGGGGUAAAGGCUCACCAAGCCGACGAUCUGUAGCUGGUCUGAGAGGACGACCAGCCACACUGGGACUGAGACACGGCCCAGACUCCUACGGGAGGCAGCAGUGGGGAAUUUUGGACAAUGGGCGCAAGCCUGAUCCAGCAAUGCCGCGUGCAGGAAGAAGGCCUUCGGGUUGUAAACUGCUUUUGUACGGAGCGAAAAGGCUCCCUCUAAUACAGGGGGCUCAUGACGGUACCGUAAGAAUAAGCACCGGCUAACUACGUGCCAGCAGCCGCGGUAA
rnacentral:rRNA from 1 species